rnacentral:misc_RNA from 1 species
ACAACUUUAAUGGACCACCACCACUACGCAACUAUGCACCACCACCACCAAACCCUGGGGGAGCACCACCACACAACUAUGGAGGGUCACAGCCAAACAACUAUUGGGGAGCACCACAGCCAAACAACUAUGGUGGGCCUUCAAACUCCAGCAGGCUGCCUGCACAGAACUAUGGAGGGGUGCAACCAAAUGCUGGUGGAUGGUCUAGUAAUGUGCAUAACAAUCAACAAGAAUAGUCCUCAACUGGUCAGGGAACUCUCAAACUUGCACAAUUCAUUAGUUGUUCGGGUUUACUCGCUGCUUGGUUCGAACAUCAAAUCCUACUGGUCACUAGUCACUGAGUAUUUGUUCUGGUGCACAAACGACAGUUUAGUUUUGCUUUCUGAGUAGGCAUACUCUUAAAACCUGUUAGAUGUACUAAAUGCAAGUACAGUUUUAAAAAAAGCAUGGAUGAUGUAAUAUUCAUAAUGUUAUAUUUG